rnacentral:rRNA from 1 species
CUUAACACACGCAAGUCGAGGGGCAGCAUGGUCUUAGCUUGCUAAGGCCGAUGGCGACCGGCGCACGGGUGAGUAACACGUAUCCAACCUGCCGUCUACUCUUGGACAGCCUUCUGAAAGGAAGAUUAAUACAAGAUGGCAUCAUGAGUCCGCAUGUUCACAUGAUUAAAGGUAUUCCGGUAGACGAUGGGGAUGCGUUCCAUUAGAUAGUAGGCGGGGUAACGGCCCACCUAGUCUUCGAUGGAUAGGGGUUCUGAGAGGAAGGUCCCCCACAUUGGAACUGAGACACGGUCCAAACUCCUACGGGAGGCAGCAGUGAGGAAUAUUGGUCAAUGGGCGAGAGCCUGAACCAGCCAAGUAGCGUGAAGGAUGACUGCCCUAUGGGUUGUAAACUUCUUUUAUAAAGGAAUAAAGUCGGGUAUGCAUACCCGUUUGCAUGUACUUUAUGAAUAAGGAUCGGCUAACUCCGUGCCAGCAGCCGCGGUAAUACGGAGGAUCCGAGCGUUAUCCGGAUUUAUUGGGUUUAAAGGGAGCGUAGAUGGAUGUUUAAGUCAGUUGUGAAAGUUUGCGGCUCAACCGUAAAAUUGCAGUUGAUACUGGAUAUCUUGAGUGCAGUUGAGGCAGGCGGAAUUCGUGGUGUAGCGGUGAAAUGCUUAGAUAUCACGAAGAACUCCGAUUGCGAAGGCAGCCUGCUAAGCUGCAACUGACAUUGAGGCUCGAAAGUGUGGGUAUCAAACAGGAUUAGAUACCCUGGUAGUCCACACGGUAAACGAUGAAUACUCGCUGUUUGCGAUAUACGGCAAGCGGCCAAGCGAAAGCGUUAAGUAUUCCACCUGGGGAGUACGCCGGCAACGGUGAAACUCAAAGGAAUUGACGGGGGCCCGCACAAGCGGAGGAACAUGUGGUUUAAUUCGAUGAUACGCGAGGAACCUUACCCGGGCUUAAAUUGCAGAUGAAUUACGGUGAAAGCCGUAAGCCGCAAGGCAUCUGUGAAGGUGCUGCAUGGUUGUCGUCAGCUCGUGCCGUGAGGUGUCGGCUUAAGUGCCAUAACGAGCGCAACCCUUGUUGUCAGUUACUAACAGGUUCCGCUGAGGACUCUGACAAGACUGCCAUCGUAAGAUGUGAGGAAGGUGGGGAUGACGUCAAAUCAGCACGGCCCUUACGUCCGGGGCUACACACGUGUUACAAUGGGGGGUACAGAGGGCCGCUACCACGCGAGUGGAUGCCAAUCCCAAAAACCUCUCUCAGUUCGGACUGGAGUCUGCAACCCGACUCCACGAAGCUGGAUUCGCUAGUAAUCGCGCAUCAGCCACGGCGCGGUGAAUACGUUCCCGGGCCUUGUACACACCGCCCGUCAAGCCAUGGGAGCCGGGGGUACCUGAAGUGCGUAACCGCGAGGAGCGCCCUAGGGUAAAACUGGUGACUGGGGCUAAG